AUUGAACGCUGGCGGCAUGCCUUACACAUGCAAGUCGAACGGUAACAGGUUAAGCUGUCGAUUGGACAGCGGGCGAGUAAUGUAUCGGAACGUGACCAGUCGUGGUGGAUAACUUCUCGAAAGAGCAGCUAAUACCGCAUACGCCCAUAGGGCGAAAGCGGGGGAUCGCAAAGCCUCGCGCGAUUGGAGCGGGCGAUAUCAGAUUAGGUAGUUGGUGAGGUAAAGGCUCACCAAGCCGACGAUCUGUAGCUGGUCUGAGAGGACGACCAGCCACACUGGAACUGAGACACGGCCCAGACUCCUACGGGAGGCAGCAGUGGGGAAUUUUGGACAAUGGGCGCAAGCCUGAUCCAGCCAUGCCGCGUGCGUGAAGAAGGCCUUCGGGUUGUAAACCGCUUUUGUCAGGGAAGAAAAGGUUCUGGCUAAUACCUGGGACUCAUGACGGUACCUAAAGAAUAAGCACCGGCUAACUACGUG
rnacentral:rRNA from 1 species